UACAGAGGGUGCAAGCGUUAAUCGGAAUUACUGGGCGUAAAGGGCGCGUAGGCGGUUGUGCGAGUGUGGUGUGAAAGCCCCGGGCUUAACCUGGGAAGCGCAUCGCAAACGGCAUGACUGGAGUAGAUGAGAGGGUGGCGGAAUUUCCGGUGUAGCGGUGAAAUGCGUAGAGAUCGGAAGGAACGUCAAUGGCGAAGGCAGCCACCUGGGCCAAUACUGACGCUCAUGCACGAAAGCGUGGGGAGCAAACAGG
rnacentral:rRNA from 1 species